GACGAACGCUGGCGGCGUGCUUAACACAUGCAAGUCGAACGAAGUGGCGAACGGGUGAGUAACGCGUAAUCAACCUGCCCUUCAGAGGGGGACAACAGUUGGAAACGACUGCUAAUACCGCAUACUGAAGGAGGGGAUUGCGUCUGAUUAGCUAGUUGGAGGGGUAACGGCCCACCAAGGCGAUGAUCAGUAGCCGGUCGGGAAGGAGGAACGGGCAAAAUGGGACUGGGACAAGGCCCAGACUCCGACGGGAGGCAGCAAUGGGGAAUCUUCCGGAAUGGAGGAAAGGUUGACCGAGCAACGCCGCGUGGAUGAUGACGGCCUUCGGGUUGGAAAGCUCUGUUAAUCGGGACGCGGUACCGGAAUAGAAAGCCACGGCUAACUACGUGCCAGCAGCCGCGGUAAUUC
rnacentral:rRNA from 1 species